AAUUAUCAAAUCGAAACUCUGGAUUUACAAUGACCUUGUAAAUAUUUAAAUAUUAAUUAAAUUGUUGAGCCAGAAAUAUUAAAAUUGUAUUAUGGUUAAUUUCCAAUUUGACAACCUUUUUUGCCGUCAUUAAAUAUGUUACUGAACUUAACGCUGUGCAUCAUAGUGUUGCUUAUAUUAGUUAAGUGUGACUUACUAAAAUUUCGUGCAUGCGAUAACUGUCCAGUAAUUAAGCUGUUACCACCAAUUGACAUAGUUAAGGACAGAAAUGAAACCAUAGUCACAUUUCCGGACGAAAUUCCACUAGUUUUAGAAUUCGAUUGUUUUGCAACGUACCCAAUCAAUUGGAUAUUUCAUAUCAAUGAGGAUGACGACGAAACUUUAAUUGAUCGAACAAUUUAUACGUAUCGGCUCGGAUUCAAGGACGAAUUAUUCGACGAAUCUACCUACGUAUCAAGUUCAUGCCGUAAUCAAUUUUACAAGGAAGUCAAGCAGUUAUCCAAACAUGUCUUGUUUAUCAUUCGGACGUCCAGGACUAAUAUCUCGGGUAGCUUUAGAACCUGAACUGAAAAAGAUUAUGUUCCAAGUCUGAAAGAAAGUAAGGAAGAAUUAUGUCAAGCUCGAGGAUCAUGGUGUCACCGAAAUGAUCGGAUUACCUGUUUUAAAUGCUUGUCAGCACAAAACAGUAAUCAACCUGAGGAAAGCGUUGAAAUAAACAUGGUGCCCAAUUUUACAAAAUGUGGUUCGUUCACGACUUGUCGAAAUCAUUUCUUUUAUGUGCCCAGGAACAUAGACUGCAUUUCAGAAGAAAUCUCCACAUCUUGCCGAAUAAAUGGAGAAGUCAACAAUUACACUUGUUCUGAAAAAUCGUAUGGCGCAUUUUUAAUGACAUGCCUCGCCCAGGGGACAAAUCAGCCGAUGUUUACUCAACUAUUUUGGCAUCCAAUUGCGCAUUACGGGAAUACGACAUAUUUGUCAGCGUUGGAUGGAGGUUUGUCGGAUCAUAUCCGGCUGGUUAUUCUGAAAAUCAAGCCGUUGAGUAGUUUAUUUUUGGGGACACAUUAUUCUGGACUUGUUCCAUAUUAAAAGCAUUGUACUCUGACGGAUUAGCGGUUACCCUUUCAAAAAAUGGGAUUGUAUUUGACACUUCCCGUUACAGUAUUUACGAGGGAAUUUCGUCGCGCGAUGGCAAAACUAUAAAAAGUCAGCAAUGGCAAUUUGCAGAGGAUAAAAUGACACUUGAUUUUAUUGGAGAGUUGGACAUAACAUGUUGGGCGCCACACCUUAAUUCGUCACGAUGGGAUAAAAAACCUUAAAAUUUCCUGUUUUUGAUCCGCAACCCCACAUAACCAGUGUGGUUUGGGAUAGAGGAAAUAGUGUUCCAAAUUUCGGCGAAACUGGAAGAUCUCUGACUUGUUAUUUUGUAAUGAGCGGGGUUUGUAAUGAGCGGGGUUUGUAAUGAUCCGGGUUUGUAAUGAGCGGGGUUUGUAAUAAGCGGUUUGUAAGGAGCCGGGUUUGUAAUGAGCGGUUUGAAACGAGGGGUUUGUACUUUCCGCCGACCGUUAUUUUACCGGGGUCGGUACUACGUCGAUAUCUUGGAUUUUUAAUGGUGUCGAACUAGCUUCGCUGGAAAAGAGGCAGAUUUCUAAAAUUGUGUCAAAUUAUGAAAUACGAGCAAACUACCAGAAUUCCUCUACUCAGCUUAUAAUUCAAAAGUUGCCAAGUUCAGGAUAUUUUGCGUGUAACGUAACAUCUGGGAAUUUUACAGCCGUUCAAAACAUACAAUUAGACCAGUUUAAUGAGGAAGUUAAGAAACAUCAAAGUUAUCUUCGCAACCCCAAUUCGCUAUUGGAUGGGUGUGGCUCACAAAGUUUCAACUGCGAUGAAGGAAAAUGCCUCUCCCUCCAAAAACUGUGGCGGAUUGCAUUGACGGGAGCGAUGAAAACCCAAAGUUUUGUUCCCGAUUGAACCGAUGCGGGGAAGGAGAGUUUUACUGUGGAGGAAAUGAACCGAGAUGCAUCCCAGUUACCGAAGUGAAUAAUGGAGUUUCUGAUUGUGAAAGUAGCGUGGAUGAGAAAAUUAACUCAUUUGAAGGAAAAAUGGUGUAUAUUUAUGUUAGCUCGGUUGUGUUGGUCGUGUUAAUUGGGUACCUUUUGUACAAAAGGAUAUCGAGGAGUGUCCUUCUCAGGAGGAGAGCUUCACCACCUGCCCUUCUCAGAUCUCGAUGCCCUUUGGAUAUGUGGUAGGGU